CAACAGACGCCCAGCAUCGAGCGCUCCCCACUUCCCCCCAAGUAGGCGCAGGCGCCGCGCCGCGCGCCGCCACGUGCCGAUAAAGAAGGACCGCCCCCUCUCCCUCGCUCUCUCGCUCGACAAGCGGAGGGAGAAACGGCUGCGGGGCGGGCGCCGAUUCCGCGCGCCUUGCAUUUAGGCGGCCGCACACGACGACAAGCCGAGGAGGCCGAGGAGAGAGCCGCUCGCUCCGCCUCCCCCCUCAUUCACUCCGCCAUCAACGCACCCCCCAUCCAACCACCACUGGCCGUCGCCGCCUCCCCCCCUCUCGUCUCCUCUACUUUCCUCUUCUCAGGAACCGAACCGAGGGAAGAGAUCUGUAUUCGCCCGCGGUCUCAAUGGAGGAGGUGAGGAGGCAUCAUCACUUCAUCAAGGUCAUGGUCGGCGAGUUCGCCCGCCGCCUCGAGAUACCUCAAGGCUUCCUUAUUCACAUUCCAGAGGUGGACCACAGUACUUUUGAUGCUUCAUUACCAUCAUCUGCCAAAGGCACGCUUCAGAAUUCAGAAGGGAAGACUUGGCCUGUUGAGCUAGAGAAACUUGAUGGCCAUGUAUUUCUGACCACUGGAUGGGCGAAGUUUGUGGAGGACAAUUCUUUGAGGGAAUAUGAGUUCCUUCUCUUCAGAUAUGAUGAUAACAUGCAUUUCAUGGUUUUGCCAUUUGGUCUGAAUGCUUGUGAGAAAGUAAUUCGGUCUUCAGGAAGUCCACAAGGAAAACUUCCAUGUGAUAUAUUCUGCUGUACUAAGAGGGGUCGGGAUGGUGAUAGACUAACAGAGGCAGCCAACAGUCUCACGCCUAGUCAUUCACAGGUAUUGCAAAGGACAACUCAAGGCCAUGAGCUUAUUUCACCACAAAGUUUCCCUGAUCAACAUGAAGUAUGCGGCUCGAAAGAUGGGUUAGAUGAACACUUAUCACUGAACGGGCCAAUGGAGGAUGAUAAAGCUAAUGCGAUAGCUGAAGUAAUGAGCAUAUUGGAUGUUGACAAAGUGACAGUUGAAUUAUUCUGUGCAAUGCUUGUUUUCUAUAAAUGGAAUGUGGAUGCGGUGGCAGAAGACUUUGACAUAUGUAGGGGCAAACCGCAAAUUCAGAACCUGUUUCUGAAGCACAAACUUCAUUUUCAAUUUGAUAUUGUAAAGAGGAAACUACGAAAGUUCUUCCCUCCAGAUGAUUAUUAUUCUUCUCCAAUACUUGAGAGUAGGAAGUGCAGCCUUGAGGAACCUAAGUUGUCUAACCAACCACUGCAAUGUGACUUGACAACAGAGAAGUGUAGGCUAGUUGAUGAGCAUGAUUUAUGUAAUUUUUCUCAGAAAAAGAGAAGGAAGCGAGGUUCAUUUUGUAGUCCUGAAACUCCACGAAGAUCACCAAGACUGGCACGCCAGAAUAAUUCUCAUGACAGUGCAGAGAAUACAUUGAAAGAAAGAUCCGAAGAGCGACAACCAUCACCAGACAGCAUGAUAGAUCAGGCAGAGAGCAGAUCAGAGCAAGCAUGUUUAUGCCACGAUAAAACAGACAGUGGUUCAUUAUUUCAAGACUCUAAGAAAGUUAAACCAGCACAUGGUGAGGUGGAUUUAUGUGAAGAGCCUCAACAUAAUCAAGGAGAAAAUGAAGGGAAUUUAGAUCAAGUCAAUAAUAAAGAAACUGAUGAAGAGCAAAUAGAAAGAAAUGCGGUGGAGACCUCUGAGUCAUUCACAAGGAGAGGUUGCAUCAAGUCAUCGCCAGCCAGUUGUGAGGUGCCAGCAUGUUUGAGAAUAAACGAGUUAUCUUUGACAUGGAAGCCCGCUGAACAUGUCAACCCUCUUGAGAAAGUUUUACUUGAUAUCCAACGAGACAAUUUCAUGAAGACCAUCUCACAUGUUCAGGGAAUCAUCCGAAAUCAUCCUUCAGACCUACUGACUGCUGAUGUAAUUACAGUUGUUGUGCAGAAAGAAAUUUUUAAAUGGAAUUGUUGUCUUAAGGAUAGGGAUGCUCAAAGGAUAGUGAAUGCGUUACUGGAACAUGCUAGAAAAAUCAAGGAGAUGCACAAUUUUAACUCGGAGAUGCGGAAGGAAGAGUUUUCUGCAAAGCUGAAGGUUCAUUUGAAGUGGCAGCUCAAAGAAGUAGAAACUAUAUAUACCUCAUUGGAGUUAGAUUACAAGAAAGCAACGAGUGAUGAUAAUAUUGCUUUCUCAAUGCUGCAUGAUAAGAAGAAGAAAUUGCACAAUCUUCAGGAUGAGAUAACUGGCUUGCAGCAGUCGUUGGAGAUGAAGAAGGAUGAAAUGCAGAAAUUGGCUCAUCAAGUUGCUGAGCAUGAGAGUGUAUUUCAGAAGUCUUUAAUGGAAAGAUUAAGGAUUAAGGAAGUUAUGAAGGGUUAUGAGCAAACUCUUGCUGAAGUUAAAGUUCAGCUAACUUCCACUGAAGUUGGAUCAAUUGAUAUAGAGGCAUUGGUGAAGGUAGAGAUGGAUAACAUGACCAAGGAAAUUGAACUGUCUAAGGAAAGCCUCCUAAACAUCACUUUCCAUUAAUGACCGGAAUGGUGAUGUCAUGAUCAUGUUCGGUUGCAAGUAGUUCUUCUAUUGACGGCAUUCUACAUUAUGAAACUAUGCUAUCUGAUAGGUGAGUCCAGUUAUGUACUAGUUUGCAUUUAUUCAUAUCUUAGACCUCUUGAAAGACAAGUUCUAGGUAAGAUACAUCUUCUGAUGACAGAAGAAGAAGAAAUUACCCCAAAACUUGUUAAGUGGCACUGAUAUUAUGCUAUAUUAAGUUGUCAUGUCACUUAUGGCAGUAC